GAUGAAGAACGUAGCGAAAUGCGAUAAGUAAUGUGAAUUGCAGAAUUCAGUGAAUCAUCGAAUCUUUGAACGCACAUUGCGCCGCCUGGUAUUCCGGGGGGCAUGCCUGUUCGAGCGUCAUUUCACCACUCAAGCCUCGCUUGGUAUUGGGCAACGCGGUCCGCCGCGUGCCUCAAAUCGACCGGCUGGGUCUUCUGUCCCCUAAGCGUUGUGGAAACUAUUCGCUAAAGGGUGUUCGGGAGGCUACGCCGUAAAACAACCCCAUUUCUAAGGUUGACCUCGGAUCAGGUAGGGAUACCCGCUGAACUUAAGCAUAUCAAUAAGCGGAGGA
rnacentral:misc_RNA from 1 species